UUUUUCUUUUUUUUUUUUGGUUGCACCUGUGGCAUGCAGAAGUUCCCAGGCCAGGGAUCGAACCCGUGCCACAGCAGCAAUCCAUCACAGCAGUGACAAUGCCAGAUCCUUAACCCUCUGAACCAUAAGAAAACUCCAACAACUGGAAUUUGAAAAUAAAACAAUGGGAGUUCCCGUUGUGGCUCAGCAGAAACGAAUCUGACUAGUAGUAUCCAUGAAGAUCCAGGUUCGAUCCCUGGCUUCACUCAGUGGGUUAAGGAUCCAGUGUUGCCGUGAGCUAUGGUGUGGGUUGCAGAUGCGGCUUGGAUCUCGUGUGGCCGUGGCCGUGGCAUAGGCCAGCGGCUAAAGCUCUGAUUCAACCCCUACCUGGGAACUUCCAUAUGCCGUGAGUGCAGCCCUAAAAGGACCAAAAAAACAACAAACAAACAAACAAAAAAAAAAACUAACAAAAUGUGCACUAGAUCUAAAUGACGAAAACUAUAAAACCAAUGUAAGAAAUGAAAAAUCUCAAUGAAUGGAGAGAGAGUCCAUAUUCAUGGAUAGGAAGAGUCAUAUAUUGUCAACAGUGACAAUUCUUUCCAACUUAAUCUAUAGAUUCCAUACAAUUCCAAUCAAAAUCCCAGCAAGUUAACUUUGUGGAUAUUGACAAACUGAUUCUAAAGUUUAUAUGGAAAGGCAGAAGACCCAGGAUAGCCAACACAAUACUAAAGAACAAACCUGAGGACUGAUACUGACUUCAACACUUAGUACAAAUCUACAGUAGUCAAGACAGUAUAUGACACUGGUGAAGAAAUAAAUAGAACAGAAUAGACACCCCAGAAAUAGACCCAUACACCUACAAUGAACUGAUCUUUGAUGAAAGGAACAACAAGUCAUUGGAGAAAGAUUAGUCUUUUUUGACAAAUGGUGUUGUUACAACUCUACAUCCACAUGCAAAAACAGGAAUCGACAUAGAUCUUUACCUACCACAAAAAGUAACUCAAAAGAGAUCACAUACUUAAUGCAAAACACCAAGCUAUGUGACUUCUAGAUAAUAACAUAAGAGAAAAUCUAGAUGACCUUGGGUUUGGAAAUGAGCUUUAAGGUACAACAUCAAAAGCACAAACCACCAAAGAAAAAAAUUGAUAAAGUAGACACUAUCAAAAUUGAAAACUUCUACUUUGUGAAGACACUUAAGAGAAUAAAAAAGGAAGCCACAUACCAGAAGAAAAUAUUGCAACACACAUAUAUAUUUGGUACCCAAAGGAUACCAAGAACUGGUAUCUGAAACAAUAUAAAGAAUUCUUAAAACUAAACAAUAACAAACACCCAAUAUAAAAAUUGGCAGAAGAUCUUAACAGAUAUCU
rnacentral:lncRNA from 1 species